rnacentral:misc_RNA from 1 species
GUAGGUGAACCUGCGGAAGGAUCAUUAAUGAACCUUUGAGAGUUGAGCUGGCGAUUUACUUCGCAUGUGCUUGCUCUCUCAUCCUUUAUACACCUGUGCACCUUUUGAGGGGAUAGUAGAUGUACCUAUGGUAUGUCGAGAUCCCCUCUAACACAUACACUUUAUUUAUUAUCGAAUGUUCAAACGCUUAACAGCAUUUAAAUACAACUUUUAACAACGGAUCUCUUGGCUCUCGCAUCGAUGAAGAACG